AUGGUUGUCGUCAGCUCGUGUCGUGAGAUGUUGGGUUAAGUCCCGCAACGAGCGCAACCCUCGCCUCUGGUUGCCAGCAUUCGGUUGGGCACUCUAGAGGGACUGCCGGCGACAAGUCGGAGGAAGGUGGGGAUGACGUCAAAUCAUCAUGCCCCUUAUGACCUGGGCUACACACGUGCUACAAUGGGCGGUACAAAGGGCUGCGAACCCGCGAGGGGGAGCGAAUCCCAAAAAGCCGCUCUCAGUUCGGAUUGCAGGCUGCAACUCGCCUGCAUGAAGCCGGAAUCGCUAGUAAUCGCGGAUCAGCAUGCCGCGGUGAAUACGUUCCCGGGCCUU
rnacentral:rRNA from 1 species